UGGGGAAUUUUGGACAAUGGGCGAAAGCCUGAUCCAGCAAUGCCGCGUGUGUGAAGAAGGCCUUCGGGUUGUAAAGCACUUUUGUCCGGAAAGAAAUCCUUGGCUCUAAUGCAGUCGGGGGAUGACGGUACCGGAAGAAUAAGCACCGGCUAACUACGUGCCAGCAGCCGCGGUAAUACGUAGGGUGCAAGCGUUAAUCGGAAUUACUGGGCGUAAAGCGUGCGCAGGCGGUUUGCUAAGACCGAUGUGAAAUCCCCGGGCUCAACCUGGGAACUGCAUUGGUGACUGGCAGGCUAGAGUAUGGCAGAGGGGGGUAGAAUUCCACGUGUAGCAGUGAAAUGCGUAGAGAUGUGGAGGAAUACCGAUGGCGAAGGCAGCCCCCUGGGCCAAUACUGACGCUCAUGCACGAAAGCGUGGGGAGCAAACAGGAUUAGAUACCCUGGUAGUCCACGCCCUAAAACGAUGUCAACUAGUUGUUGGGGAUUCAUUUCCUUAGUAACGUAGCUAACGCGUGAAGUUGACCGCCUGGGGAGUACGGUCGCAAGAUUAAAACUCAAAUGAAUUGACGGGGUCAUAGCUGUUUCCU
rnacentral:rRNA from 1 species